rnacentral:lncRNA from 10 species
CCGCUUCUUCCUCUGGGAGUUUUCAUUGGAAUGCCCUCUCCACAUCACUCCUCAGGGAGGAAAUGAACGCCCAGGCAGGCAGAGCUGUGGGGUAUGAUAGGGGUGUCUGGGAAUCCCCCGUAUGCUGCUGGGAUAGGGGUGUCUGGGAAUCCCCCACGCGCUGCUGGGAUAGGGGUGUCUGGGAAUCCCCCACAUGCUGCUGGGAUAGGGGUGUCUGGGAAUCGUGCGGCCUCCCUUGAUGCAGUGGGACCAUCUGGCCAGGAGCCUGUGGGGCCCUGACUCCACACCAGGGCAGGACCAGUGUUUGUUUUAGAUAAAACUAGACUCCGUUCAGACAGUCACAGGCCUCAGGAGCCCCAUCCUGUGCUGGGGGGAAGGGGUGCUGAUAAAGGAGACGCCUUGCUCUGCAGAACAAAAAUAAUUCCACCACUGCCACCGCUCACAGCAUCUACAGCAGGCCCUGUGCUGCUGUCACAACCUCACCCUGGUCCCCUGAGGCGGAUAUCACCAUCCCAUUUCAGAGACAAGGAAAAUGAGGCCCAGGUGCGUGAAGAAACUGGCCUAUCAAGGCAGAGCUAGCGGGUAGCAUGCUGGACUUCUAAGCCUUCCUGAGAAAGUGAACUGCUUCCUCUGAGAUGGGCAUAGGCAUGGCUGUGUGUGCAUCUUGUCCUGACCAUUCCACAGUGGCUGUUAUCACACUCCAUUUACAAGUUGGCUCAGAAAACCGGAGGUGAAGCUGAAGCAGCCCAGCUGGCCCUAAGAAGCCCUGGACGCUCCCUCCCAUCCUCACAUCGUUGAGUCAAUGCUAUUAUUUGAAUGUCUGUGUCCCCUCCAAAAUUCAUGUUGGAACUUAAUCCUUAAGGAGCAGUUUUAAGAGAUGGGGCCUUUAGGUCAUGAGGGCUCUGCUCUAUGAAUGGAUUAGUGUCUUAUAAAAGGGCUUGAGGGGGCCAGUUCCCCCCUCUUCAGUCCCAUAUGCCAUGUGAAGACACAGUUCAUGGUGCCAUCUUGGAAGCAGAGAGCAACCCUUAACAGACACUGAACAAGCCCGUGCCUUGAUCUUGGACUUCACAGCGUCCAGAACAGUGAGAAAUAAAUUUCUGUUGUUUACAAAUUAUCCAGUGUAUUAGUCUGUUUUCCCACUGUUGAUACAGACAUACCCAAGACUGGGCAAUUUACAAAAGAAAGAGGUUUAAUGG